UACGUAGGGUGCGAGCGUUAAUCGGAAUUACUGGGCGUAAAGCGUGCGCAGGCGGUUCGUUGUGUCGGCGGUGAAAGCCCCGGGCUUAACCUGGGAAUGGCCGUUGAAACUGGCGAACUGGAGUGUGGCAGAGGGGGGUGGAAUUCCGGCGUGUAGCAGUGAAAUGCGUAGAGAUGCGGAGGAACACCGAUGGCGAAGGCA
rnacentral:rRNA from 1 species